rnacentral:rRNA from 1 species
GCCGAAGGGAAACCGAGUCUUAACUGGGCGUUAAGUUGCAGGGUAUAGACCCGAAACCCGGUGAUCUAGCCAUGGGCAGGUUGAAGGUUGGGUAACACUAACUGGAGGACCGAACCGACUAAUGUUGAAAAAUUAGCGGAUGACUUGUGGCUGGGGGUGAAAGGCCAAUCAAACCGGGAGAUAGCUGGUUCUCCCCGAAAGCUAUUUAGGUAGCGCCUCGUGAAUUCAUCUCCGGGGGUAGAGCACUGUUUCGGCAAGGGGGUCAUCCCGACUUACCAACCCGAUGCAAACUGCGAAUACCGGAGAAUGUUAUCACGGGAGACACACGGCGGGUGCUAACGUCCGUCGUGAAGAGGGAAACAACCCAGACCGCCAGCUAAGGUCCCAAAGUCAUGGUUAAGUGGGAAACGAUGUGGGAAGGCCCAGACAGCCAGGAUGUUGGCUUAGAAGCAGCCAUCAUUUAAAGAAAGCGUAAUAGCUCACUGGUCGAGUCGGCCUGCGCGGAAGAUGUAACGGGGCUAAACCAUGCACCGAAGCUGCGGCAGCGACGCUUAUGCGUUGUU